UCUAUGGUGGCGACCGGCGCACGGGUGCGUAACGCGUAUGCAACCUACCUUUAACAGGGGGAUAACACUGAGAAAUUGGUACUAAUUCCCCAUAACAUUCGAGAAGGCAUCUUCUUGGGUUAAAAACUCCGGUGGUUAAAGAUGGGCAUGCGUUGUAUUAGCUAGUUGGUGAGGUAACGGCUCACCAAGGCAACGAUACAUAGGGGGACUGAGAGGUUAACCCCCCACAUUGGUACUGAGACACGGACCAA
rnacentral:rRNA from 1 species